rnacentral:rRNA from 1 species
UACGUAGGGUGCAAGCGUUGUCCGGAAUUAUUGGGCGUAAAGAGCUCGUAGGCGGUCCGUCGCGUCGGCUGUGAAAACUCAGGGCUCAACCCUGAGCCUGCAGUCGAUACGGGCGGACUAGAGUAUGGCAGGGGAGACUGGAAUUCCUGGUGUAGCGGUGAAAUGCGCAGAUAUCAGGAGGAACACCGGUGGCGAAGGCGGGUCUCUGGGCCAUGACUGACGCUGAGGAGCGAAAGCGUGGGGAGCGAACAGG